CGGCGGCCUAACACAUGCAAGUCGAGCGGAUGAAGGGAGCUUGCUCCUGGAUUCAGCGGCGGACGGGUGAGUAAUGCCUAGGAAUCUGCCUGGUAGUGGGGGAUAACGUCCGGAAACGGGCGCUAAUACCGCAUACGUCCUGAGGGAGAAAGUGGGGGAUCUUCGGACCUCACGCUAUCAGAUGAGCCUAGGUCGGAUUAGCUAGUUGGUGGGGUAAAGGCCUACCAAGGCGACGAUCCGUAACUGGUCUGAGAGGAUGAUCAGUCACACUGGAACUGAGACACGGUCCAGACUCCUACGGGAGGCAGCAGUGGGGAAUAUUGGACAAUGGGCGAAAGCCUGAUCCAGCCAUGCCGCGUGUGUGAAGAAGGUCUUCGGAUUGUAAAGCACUUUAAGUUGGGAGGAAGGGCAGUAAGUUAAUACCUUGCUGUUUUGACGUUACCAACAGAAUAAGCACCGGCUAACUUCGUGCCAGCAGCCGCGGUAAUACGAAGGGUGCAAGCGUUAAUCGGAAUUACUGGGCGUAAAGCGCGCGUAGGUGGUUCAGCAAGUUGGAUGUGAAAUCCCCGGGCUCAACCUGGGAACUGCAUCCAAAACUACUGAGCUAGAGUACGGUAGAGGGUGGUGGAAUUUCCUGUGUAGCGGUGAAAUGCGUAGAUAUAGGAAGGAACACCAGUGGCGAUGGCGACCACCUGGACUGAUACUGACACUGAGGUGCGAAAGCGUGGGGAGCAAACAGGAUUAGAUACCUGGUAGUCCCCGCCGUAAACGAUGUCGACUAGCGUGGGAUCUUGAGAACUUAUGGCGCAGCUACGCGAUAAGUCGAC
rnacentral:rRNA from 1 species